rnacentral:lncRNA from 1 species
UUCAAAGCAUUUUCAAGACUUGAAGAUACACUAGAAGCACUUUGGUAGCACUAGGAGUUCUUGAAUCAUCAACAUUUUCAUAUCAUCAUCUUUAUUUUUCUAGCAAAAUUCUUAUGCUAGUUAAGAAACGAACCGCGAACAAGGAAUCGAAUAGAGAUUUGCACGGAACGCAAAUCUGUGAGUUCAUGUUUCCCCUUUUACUUUAA